AGAACGUGGCCCCAGCAGUGUGGCCAUUGCCUGCUAGCCUGGUGUCCCCUAGACAUCCGUCAAUGUCGCUGGAGAGCCUGUGCAGUCUCGCUGCAGUCUCGGGUAAGGUGAGUCGCCCAAGCUGUUCGGAGCAGCCAGAAGGUGCAGCCUUCUGCACACACGUGUUCUGGUCGGGAUGAGUCAGGGACAGCCCGCCCUGCCAAGCUGCUUCCAAAUGACUGCCCUCAUUAGCACUCCCCCCCAGAGCUUCCGCAUCUUGCCACUCUCACGGUGAUGCGGCCUUGUUUUGACACCCCUCUCUGACGCAGCAGUUUUCUGGCCUAUCCAGCCCGUAUGAACUGCGCAGUCACACCUUUGGCUUUUCUGCAUCUUUUUUUUCAUGCUCACUUCUAUACACUCCAGUUUCAAAUACCAAGAUGUUUGACCCUUAGUAUUGGCCUAGUUUCUUUUGUGGGGGCUGAGCCUCAGGUCAGCCCAGCCUCCUGCGCUUUUUCUAAAUGUAUGGGUUAUCAUGUGGACUGUAGUUUUUGGCACAGGGAGUGAUACAGCUGCAACUGUGUCCACCUGUCACUUUCUUGCCUCCUAUUCCCUGUUAUGUCAACAGAUACAGUGUCCUGGGGAGUGGAUCUGUGUGGCUGCAACAUCUCUCUCAAAAGCACCGUCAUGAUGUUUCAGAAGGACUCCCCACCUGCUCCCCCCAGCCAGGGUCAGGCGAGCCUCCGAGCGGGUGGCAGGAACCCAGGGAUGUGGGCCUCUUGCUCCCUAGGUGCAAUUCUUCAACUACUGGUUCCCUCCCCAAGCGGUUGCAGCAGCCAAGAAGGACCAGGCACUUCUGGAUCUCUCACAGUGGUGGUAAAGGACCAAUAACUGGACCGUCAACUGCUGCCUACCAAGGCAGAAGGAUUAUUUCCUACAGCCAGACCUCACAUCACCAGUUGGAUUCACUCUAAUGUCCUAAUAGAACUUCGGGUUUUCUGUUGGCUGCUCUGCAUGGAAAUGGAAUUGAUUUUGCUGUUAUUU